UACAGAGGGUGCAAGCGUUGUUCGGAAUUAUUGGGCGUAAAGCGCGUGUAGGCGGCUUUGCAAGUCGGGUGUGAAAUCCCUCAGCUCAACUGAGGAAGUGCGCCCGAAACUGCGGAGCUUGAGUACCGGAGAGGAUGGCGGAAUUCCCCAAGUAGAGGUGAAAUUCGUAGAUAUGGGGAGGAACACCGGUGGCGAAGGCGGCCAUCUGGACGGAUACUGACGCUGAGACGCGAAAGCGUGGGGAGCAAAACGG
rnacentral:rRNA from 1 species